UCUAGGAUAGGCAAAUUGGUAAAGCCGCGAAGCUCUGAACUUCGUGUUUGCAGGUUCGAAGCCUGCUCCUAGACCCA
rnacentral:tRNA from 1 species